CAAAACCUUCCGGCCCCCGGUUUGUUCCGGGAAGCUCGGGCUUGCUGGCGCGGGGACUGGCCGCCGCGCUUCGGUGCGGGCGGGCCUUCCCCCGCUUAAAGGUGUGGAAGCUAGCGGGGUGUGCCCCGGAUCGCGACGACUCGUAAGCUUUUUUACUGUCGAAGGCAAUCCGGACGCCCCCGCCUCAUAACACUGGCCGUUUUUCCGGCCUUGAAC
rnacentral:misc_RNA from 1 species